rnacentral:rRNA from 1 species
GAUGAACGCUAGCUACGGGCUUAACACAUGCAAGUCGAGGGGCAGCAUGGUCUUAGCUUGCUAAGACUGAUGGCGACCGGCGCACGGGUGAGUAACACGUAUCCAACCUGCCGUCUACUCUUGGACAGCCUUCUGAAAGGAAGAUUAAUACAAGAUGGCAUCAUGAGUCCGCAUGUUCACAUGAUUAAAGGUAUUCCGGUAGACGAUGGGGAUGCGUUCCAUUAGAUAGUAGGCGGGGUAACGGCCCACCUAGUCUUCGAUGGAUAGGGGUUCUGAGAGGAAGGUCCCCCACAUUGGAACUGAGACACGGUCCAAAACUCCUACGGGAGGCAGCAGUGAGGAAUAUUGGCAAUGGGCGAGAGCCUGAACCAGCCAAGUAGCGUGAAAGGAUGACUGCCCUAUGGGGUU